rnacentral:rRNA from 1 species
AGUGAACGCUGGCGGCGUGCUUAACACAUGCAAGUCGAACGAUAACGGAAUAUAGCUUGCUAUAUUUGUCAGCUAAGUGGCGCACGGGUGAGUAAUGUAUAGAUAACCUGCCCUUAAGAAAGGAAUAACAGUUGGAAACGACUGCUAAUGCCCUAUAUGCCUUUACUACAUAAGUAUGCAAGGGAAACGCUUUAGUGAUUAAGGAUGGGUCUGUAUGGUAUCAGAUUGUUGGUGAGGUAAUGGCUCACAAAGGCUAUGACGCCUAACUGGUUUGAGAAGAUGCUCAGUCAGAGGAACAGAGACACGGUCCAGACACCUACGGGAGGCAGCAGUGGGGAAUAUUGUACAAUGGACGAAAGUCUGAUGCAGCAACGCCGCGGGGAGGAUGACACAUUUCUGUGCGUAAACUCCUUUUAUAUAGGAAGAUAAGGACGGUACUAUAUGAAUAAGCACCGGCUAACGCCGUGCCAGCCGCCGCAGUAA